rnacentral:rRNA from 1 species
AUGUCAUCAGCAGAUUCUAAAAAAAAUGUCAUUAGCUGGAAGUUCUGGUGGGGCAGUAAGGAUGGACAUCGUAAGCCUAAUUGUGUUUCGUGGGAAGCUAUGACACAAACAAAAAGUAAUGGUGGUUUGGGCUUUAAGGACUUCAAACUUUUUAACUUGGCCCUUCUAGCCAAGCAGACAUGGAGAAUCUGUAACAGGCAUUCAUCACCUUUUGCAAGAAUUCUGAAAAGUGUAAACUUUCCUACACAAACUAUUUUGACGGAGGUUUUAGGCAACCACUCAAGUUAGAUUUGGAGGUCGAUCAUCGAGGGUCGAGACAUUUCGAAGCAAGGCUUGAUCCGACACAUUGGGAACAGGAAUACUACCAACAUAUGGUCAGACAAUUGGAUCCCUCGAGGAGAGAUGACGCGGCCUUAUGGAAGCAGGUCGCCCAAUCCGCCAGAUUUCGUGUCAGCAUUGAAAUAA